UGAUCUGCCCUUUUGUUGGGGAAGUACCGCUGGGAAACCGGGUAGGACAAUAACCGCAUAAGCUCGAGAGAGGAAAGCCGUAAGGCGCAGAAGGAGGAGUCCGCGGUCGAUUAGUUAGUUGGCAGGGUAAAAGCCUACCAAGACUGUGAUCGAUAGCCGGCCUGAGAGGGCACACGGCCACACUGGCACUGAAACACGGGCCAG
rnacentral:rRNA from 1 species